AAAUGAAAAAAGGGGAGCUGCCCCCGGGCGGCUGAGAGGAGCCUAGAGCUUAAACCCUUUGCCUUUGGGCAGGAACCUGAUACGGGUAAUACCGGCGUAGGAAGUUUUCAUCAUACCAGC
rnacentral:ncRNA from 1 species